ensembl:lncRNA
CUCUCUCUAUCUCUAUCUCUCGCCCUCCUCCUCUCCCUCCCUCUCUUCCGUGUCAUUAGCCAGGGGCUGGCCCUUAAAACUGUAAUUUUCCGUUCGGGGACAAUAGCGAUCACAGGGUGAGGCAUUAAUUACGGCGCUGGCCGUAUGGAAUUUGCCUCCCUUUCUCCCCCUCCUGUGUCUCCGUGUCUCCCCCUUCCCCCCUCCUGCCCACGGGUCCCAGUGAUUCCCGGGAACGCCGUCGGUCCGAACCCCGGGCUGAACCCUCUUUGUCCCAGCAUUCAUUGCUCCAGUGAUUAAAUGCAAGUUUGUUAACCUUCUGCGGAGGGGGGGGGGGGGUCAAGACCCACUCCCUCCUCCCCCCUCCUCACCCCUCCUCUCCCCUCCUGCUGCCUUCCUGCUGGCUGAACUUUCCCCGCUAACGAACGUGAGGAGAAGAAAGGAAGAGGCGAUGCGCGGGUUUGUCCUGCAGGACGCCUACCCCUGCUAGCACGCUACCCCUCUGGGACACGGCGACCUAGCGCGCCGCGGUGCCACAACUCAAUGUAUUGAUUAGCUUGUUAGCUGGAAACCUGAUUAGCGCGUGUCUCUGCGACCACGUGUGAUGUUUAUCACCGAGCGUCGAUUUCCUCUUUCCAGACGCGCGCGGCGGUGGUUAGCACUGCGUCCCGACAGAGGCCCCGCCGCUGCGGCGCCUUUAGCAUGACGCUAACCACACACGACAAGCUAGCAGCUGAUGAUCGGGGCUGUUAGCAGGCGUAGCGUAGCGCUGGGUCGUGUCUGAACGUCAAUAGCAUAACAUCCCGUGGUGUGUUCAGUAUAAUGAGCUACGCCUAUGCACUGGGCCGGGUGGUCUCACCCAUCCCCUGGACCCCUGCACUGGGCCGGGUGGUCUUACCCAUCCCCUGGACCCCUGCACUGGGCCGGGUGGUCUCACCCAUCCCCUGGACCCCUGCACUGGGCCAGACAGUUGACUUUAGAUACUUUGGAGGACUUUUACCUUGAAACAGUGAUGUACUAAAGGGAAAGUCUGGGAGCCCAACUAAUGAGGCAGUCCCUCAGGGUCUGGGUCUCUAGUGGUCUCCCAGGGUCUUGGUCUCUAGUGGUCUGUAAGGGUCUGGGUCUGAGGCUGUCUCCCAGGGUCUGGGUCUGUAGUGGUCUCUCAGCGUCUCUAGUGGUCUCUUAUGGUCUGGGUCUGAAGCUGUCUCUAAGGCGUGUGGGGGGGUUGUUGGCCUGCAUGCUGUCGUCAACUCAACCAGAGUUAAUACAUGUUUAGAGGUGAGAGUGGGCUGUCCUUGCGACCGGCUUAUCCUGCCAGUGUUGAGGAGAUGCAACCUUUUAGUAUCACUCUGAGUCCAUGGUGAGUGUCUGCUCUGUAAGUCCCAUCCAAGACUGGAAGUAGCCUAACUCGGGUGUGGAUUAUCUCACUAAACCCCUUCUCUCUCUCUCUCUCUCUCUCUCUCUCUCUCUCUCUCUCUCUCUCUCUCUCUCUCUCUCUCUCUCUCUCUCUCUC